rnacentral:rRNA from 1 species
UGGGGAAUAUUGCGCAGUGGGCGAAAGCCUGACGCAGCGACGCCGCGUGCGGGAUGAAGGCCUUCGGGUUGUAAACCGCUUUCAGCAGGGACGAAGCGAAAGUGACGGUACCUGCAGAAGAAGCACCGGCUAACUACGUGCCAGCAGCCGCGGUAAUACGUAGGGUGCAAGCGUUGUCCGGAUUUCUUGGGCGUAAAGAGCUCGUAGGCGGUCUGUCGCGUCGGAUGUGAAAACCCAGGGCUCAACCCUGGGCCUGCAUUCGAUACGGGCAGACUAGAGUACGGCAGGGGAGACUGGAAUUCCUGGUGUAGCGGUGAAAUGCGCAGAUAUCAGGAGGAACACCGGUGGCGAAGGCGGGUCUCUGGGCCGUAACUGACGCUGAGGAGCGAAAGCGUGGGGAGCGAAC